CUCGGCUCGGCUCGGCGCCGCUCGGCUCCGCUCGGUUCGAUUCGACUCCGCUCGGCUCCGCUCGGCUCGGCUCGGGAGCACGGCCCGGGCGCUGAUUGGCUGCGGCCGCUUCCUGCCCGGGGACCCCACGGCGGAGCUUGGUGGCUUCCGUGCCUGCGUGGGAGGUUUCAGUCUCAGUCCAGAGGAGAAGAGGAAGCUCCUCACCCCUUUGAUUACAGAGCAAAGCUGGAACAAGCAAACCUGGAGAGCUCAAAGCUAAAAAGCAAAUAAAAAUAACUGGAAAAGUGUUAUAUUUAAAACAA